rnacentral:piRNA from 1 species
UGGUAGCAUAGCAUUGUGAGACAGUCUGUCC